rnacentral:rRNA from 1 species
GUGGGGAAUAACGUUCGGAAACGGACGCUAAUACCGCAUAACGCAGCGGCACCGCAAGGUGACAGUUGUUAAAGGAGCAAUCCGCUUGAGGAGGAGCUUGCGGCAGAUUAGCUAGUUGGUAGGGUAAUGGCUUACCAAGGCUACGAUCUGUAUCCGGUCUAAGAGGACGGUCGGACACACUGACACUGAAUAACGGGUCAGACUCCUACGGGAGGCAGCAGUCGGGAAUUUUGGGCAAUGGGCGAAAGCCUGACCCAGCAACGCCGCGUGAAGGAUGAAGUAUUUCGGUAUGUAAACUUCGAAAGAAUAGGAAGAAUAAAUGACGGUACUAUUUAUAAGCUCCGGCUAACUACGUGCCAGCAGCCGCGGUAAUACGUAGGGAGCAAGCGUUGUUCGGAUUUACUGGGCGUAAAGGGCGCGUAGGCGGCGCGGUAAGUCACUUGUGAAAUCUCUGAGCUUAACUCAGAACGGCCAAGUGAUACUGCAGUGCUAGAGUGCAGAAAGGGCAAUCGGAAUUCUUGGUGUAGCGGUGAAAUGCGUAGAUAUCAAGAGGAACACCUGAGGCGAAGGCGGGUUGCUAGGCUGACACUGACGCUGAGGCGCGAAAGCCAGGGGAGCAAACGGGAUUAGAUACCCCGGUAGUCCUGGCCCUAAACGAUGAAUACUUGGUGUCUGGAGUUUCAAUACUCCGGGUGCCGUCGCUAACGUUUUAAGUAUUCCGCCUGGGGAGUACGCUCGCAAGAGUGAAACUCAA